UGAACGCUGGCGGCGUGCCUACUACAUGCAAGUCGAGCGAACGGCCGAGAAGCUUGCUUCUCUGAUGUUAGCGGCGGACGGGUGAGUAACACGUGGAUAACCUACCUAUAAGACUGGGAUAACUUCGGGAAACCGGAGCUAAUACCGGAUGAUAUUUUGAACCGCAUGGUUCAAAAGUGAAAGACGGUCUUGCUGUCACUUAUAGAUGGAUCCGCGCUGCAGUAGCUAGUUGGUAAGGUAACGGCUUACCAAGGCAACGAUGCAUAGCCGACCUGAGAGGGUGAUCGGCCACACUGGAACUGAGACACGGUCCAGACUCCUACGGGAGGCAGCAGUAGGGAAUCUUCCGCAAUGGGCGAAAGCCUGACGGAGCAACGCCGCGUGAGUGAUGAAGGUCUUCGGAUCGUAAAACUCUGUUAUUAGGGAAGAACAUAUGUGUAAGUAACUGUGCACAUCUUGACGGUACCUAAUCAGAAAGCCACGGCUAACUACGUG
rnacentral:rRNA from 1 species